CUCGUAGGCGGUUUGUCGCGUCGGGAGUGAAAUCCUCAGGCUUAACCUGGGGCUUGCUUUCGAUACGGGCAGACUGGAGGUAUGCAGGGGAGAACGGAAUUCCUGGUGUAGCGGUGAAAUGCGCAGAUAUCAGGAGGAACACCGGUGGCGAAGGCGGUUCUCUGGGCAUUACCUGACGCUGAGGAGCGAAAGUGUGGGGAGCGAACA
rnacentral:rRNA from 1 species